GCCAGACUCCUACGGGAGGCAGCAGUGGGGGAUAUUGCACAAUGGGGGGAACCCUGAUGCAGCGACGCCGCGUGGGUGAAGGAGCGUUUCGGCGCGUAAAGCCCUAUCGGCAGGGAAGAAGGAGGACGGUACCUGACUAAGAAGCCCCGGCUAACUACGUGCCAGCAGCCGCGGUAAUACGUAGGGGGCAAGCGUUAUCCGGAUUUACUGGGUGUAAAGGGGGCGCAGACGGCAGCGCAAGCCAGGAGUGAAAGCCCGGGGCCCAACCCCGGGACUGCUCUUGGAACUGCGCGGCUGGAGUGCAGGAGAGGCAGGCGGAAUUCCUGGUGUAGCGGUGAAAUGCGUAGAUAUCAGGAGGAACACCGGUGGCGAAGGCGGCCUGCUGGACUGCGACUGACGUUGAGGCCCGAAAGCGUGGGGAGCAAACAGGAUUAGAUACCCUAGUAU
rnacentral:rRNA from 1 species